rnacentral:rRNA from 1 species
AGUGAACGCUGGCGGUAGGCCUAACACAUGCAAGUCGAACGGCAGCACAGUAAGAGCUUGCUCUUACGGGUGGCGAGUGGCGGACGGGUGAGGAAUACAUCGGAAUCUACUUUUUCGUGGGGGCUAACGUAGGGAAACUUACGCUAAUACCGCAUACGACCUACGGGUGAAAGCAGGGGAUCUUCGGACCUUGCGCGAUUGAAUGAGCCGAUGUCGGAUUAGCUAGUUGGCGGGGUAAAGGCCCACCAAGGCGACGAUCCGUAGCUGGUCUGAGAGGAUGAUCAGCCACACUGGAACUGAGACACGGUCCAGACUCCUACGGGAGGCAGCAGUGGGGAAUAUUGGACAAAGGGCGCAAGCCUGAUCCAGCCAUACCGCGUGGGUGAAGAAGGCCUUCGGGUUGUAAAGCCCUUUUGUUGGGAAAGAAAAGCAGCAGGUUAAUACCCCGCUGUUCUGACGGUACCAAAAGAAUAAGCACCGGCUAACUUCGUG